rnacentral:rRNA from 1 species
CAAUAGCGUAUAUUAAAGUUGUUGCAGUUAAAAAGCUCGUAGUUGGAUUUGUGGCUGUCACGGGCGGCCUAUCACUUAGUGUUAGUGCUUGCCUGUGUCGCCAUCCUUGGGUGGAGCCCGUGUGGCAUUAGGUUGUCGUGCGGGGGAUGCCCAUCGUUUACUGUGAGAAAAUUAGAGUGUUCAAAGCAGGCUUAUGCCAUUGGAUAUGUUAGCAUGGAAUAAUAAGAUAGGACCUCGGUACUAUUUUGUUGGUUUGCGCACCGAGGUAAUGAUUAAUAGGGACAGUUGGGGGUAUUCGUAUUUCAUUGUCAGAGGUGAAAUUCUUGGAUUUCUGAAAGACGAACUACUGCGAAAGCAUUUACCAAGGAUGUUUUCAUUAA